GCAUCAGAAACAAACAUCUGCUGAUUGCGGGGCGAGCAUGAACGCAGGUCCCAGUGCCACAAUUACGUAGUAGAGUUUCCCACAUUUAAGGAAAUAGCAAGGGCCAGCCGUGCAUAAGCCUCACCCCGGGACAAUCACCCUCAUGAUCACAGUAUCCCCUCUGCCAGGAGUCAGUGUCAUGGUUACUCCCACUGUGAUGUCCAGGAAGUUGAAAAGAAAAGUGGCAGUGGAGGAAGAUUUCAUUUUAGGAAGAAAAACAGGGUCACGGCAGUGUGAACUGCAGAAAACUGGGCGCGACAGGGAUUUGCACGGGUGAUGGACACUCAGGUAUCUCCCCCAAAGAGUGUGAAGCACCAACUAG